rnacentral:ncRNA from 1 species
UUGUAAGCAAUGAUUGGAAAUAGUAAAGAGACUAAUAAACUUAAACAGAGAGCCAAUGGUUGGUGUGAAUUGGCAGUUAUUUUCCUUUGAACUCGUCCAAGAGCUGCUCCCUGAAAACAAGUAAGGGAGAUCGGCCUCCUCCGUUAACAGGAUUGGUAGUGUUGGCUACUGAAAAAGCUGGAUUAAGUCAGGUAAUGAUUGAUCAAUUAGAGUGGUACCGCGAGUAAACCUCGUCUCUAUU